GACGUAGGGAGCGAGCGUUAUCCGGAUUCAUUGGGCGUAAAGCGCGCGUAGGCGGCUUUGCAAGUCGGGUGUGAAAACCAGAGGCUCAACCUCUGGCCUGCAUCCGAAACUGCAUCGCUAGAGGUAGGUAGGGGAGAUCGGAAUUCCUGGUGUAGCGGUGAAAUGCGCAGAUAUCAGGAGGAACACCGGUGGCGAAGGCGGAUCUCUGGGCCUUACCUGACGCUGAGGUGCGAAAGCUAGGGGAGCGAAC
rnacentral:rRNA from 1 species